UACGUAGGGGGCGAGCGUUGUCCGGAUUUAUUGGGCGUAAAGAGCGUGUAGGCGGCCAGGUAGGUCCGUUGUGAAAACUCGAGGCUUAACCUCGAGAUGUCGGUGGAAACCAUCUGGCUAGAGUCCGGAAGAGGAGAGUGGAAUUCCUGGUGUAGCGGUGAAAUGCGCAGAUAUCAGGAAGAACACCCGUGGCGAAGGCGGCUCUCUGGGACGGUACUGACGCUGAGACGCGAAAGCGUGGGGAGCGAACAGG
rnacentral:rRNA from 1 species